rnacentral:rRNA from 1 species
CCUACGGGAGACAGCAGUGAGGAAUAUUGGUCAAUGGACGAGAGUCUGAACCAGCCAAGUAGCAUGAAGGAUGACUGCCCUAUGGGUUGUAAACUUCUUUUAUAUGGGAAUAAAAUGUUCCACGUGUGGGAUUUUGUAUGUACCAUAUGAAUAAGGAUCGGCUAACUCCGUGCCAGCAGCCGCGGUAAUACGGAGGAUCCGAGCGUUAUCCGGAUUUAUUGGGUUUAAAGGGAGCGUAGGUGGAUUGUUAAGUCAGUUGUGAAAGUUUGCGGCUCAACCGUAAAAUUGCAGUUGAAACUGGUAGUCUUGAGUACAGUAGAGGUGGGCGGAAUUCGUGGUGUAGCGGUGAAAUGCUUAGAUAUCACGAAGAACUCCGAUUGCGAAGGCAGCUCACUGGACUGCAACUGACACUGAGGCUCGAAAGUGUGGGUAUCAAACAGGAUUAGAUACCCGUGUAGUC